UACGGAGGGUGCAAGCGUUAUCCGGAAUCAUUGGGUUUAAAGGGUCCGCAGGCGGGCAUAUAAGUCAGUGGUGAAAGCCUACAGCUCAACUGUAGAACUGCCAUUGAUACUGUAAGUCUUGAAUUCGGUCGAAGUGGGCGGAAUGUGUAGUGUAGCGGUGAAAUGCAUAGAUAUUACACAGAACACCGAUAGCGAAGGCAGCUCACUAGGCCUGGAUUGACGCUCAGGGACGAAAGCGUGGGGAUCAAACAGG
rnacentral:rRNA from 1 species